ensembl:rRNA 5S_rRNA 5S ribosomal RNA
UGUUACGGCCACACCAUCCUGAACACAUCCGACCUCAUCUGAUCUUGGAAGCUAAGGAGACUUGGGCCUGGAGGAAGAAACAC